rnacentral:rRNA from 1 species
AGAGUUUGAUCCUGGCUCAGGACGAACGCUGGCGGCGUGCCUAACACAUGCAAGUCGAACGGACUGAUUCGCUUCGGUGAUGAAAGUUAGUGGCGGACGGGUGAGUAACGCGUGAGUAACCUGCCUUUCAGAGGGGGAUAACGUUUGGAAACGAACGCUAAUACCGCAUAACGUACAGUUGUCGCAUGGCAGCAGUACCAAAGGAGCAAUCCGCUGAAAGAUGGACUCGCGUCUGAUUAGAUAGUUGGCGGGGUAACGGCCCACCAAGUCGACGAUCAGUAGCCGGACUGAGAGGUUGAACGGCCACAUUGGGACUGAGACACGGCCCAGACUCCUACGGGAGGCAGCAGUGAGGGAUAUUGCACAAUGGGCGCAAGCCUGAUGCAGCAACGCCGCGUGAAGGAUGACGGUUUUCGGAUUGUAAACUUCUGUUCUUAGUGAUGAUAAUGACAUUAGCUAAGGAGAAAGCCACGGCUAACUACGUGCCAGCAGCCGCGGUAAUACGUAGGUGGCAAGCGUUGUCCGGAUUUACUGGGUGUAAAGGGAGCGCAGGCGGGAAAGCAAGUCAGUGGUGAAAUGCAUGGGCUUAACCCAUGAACUGCCGUUGAAACUGUUUUUCUUGAGUGAAGUAGAGGCAAGCGGAAUUCCGAGUGUAGCGGUGAAAUGCGUAGAUAUUCGGAGGAACACCAGUGGCGAAGGCGGCUUGCUGGGCUUUAACUGACGCUGAGGCUCGAAAGUGUGGGGAUCAAACAGGAUUAGAUACCCUGGUAGUCCACACUGUAAACGAUGAUUACUAGGUGUGGGGGGUCUGACCCCUUCCGUGCCGCAGUUAACGCAAUAAGUAAUCCACCUGGGGAGUACGACCGCAAGGUUGAAACUCAAAGGAAUUGACGGGGGCCCGCACAAGCAGUGGAUUAUGUGGUUUAAUUCGAAGCAACGCGAAGAACCUUACCAGGUCUUGACAUCGAGUGACCGGCUUAGAGAUAAGCCUUUCCUUCGGGACACAAAGACAGGUGGUGCAUGGUUGUCGUCAGCUCGUGUCGUGAGAUGUUGGGUUAAGUCCCGCAACGAGCGCAACCCCUGCCAUUAGUUGCUACGCAAGAGCACUCUAAUGGGACCGCUACCGACAAGGUGGAGGAAGGUGGGGACGACGUCAAAUCAUCAUGCCCCUUAUGACCUGGGCUACACACGUAAUACAAUGGCCGUUAACAGAGGGAAGCAAUACCGCGAGGUGGAGCAAACCCCCAAAAACGGUCUCAGUUCGGAUUGCAGGCUGCAGCUCGCCUGUAUGAAGUUGGAAUUGCUAGUAAUCGCAGAUCAGCAUGCCGCGGUGAAUACGAUCCCGGGCCUUGCACUCACCGCCCGUCA